UCUAAAGGAAACACAUUAUGCCAGAGGAUCCUCUCUUGCUUGACCUCUCAAAUGCAUGAUUUUCCAAAGAGUAAUUUGUGUUGGAGGAACUAAAGGAAGGAAGGCCACUGAGGCAACUGAGUAAGGAGAGGGGAAAUCUUAAAUCAUGAAGAGUGAAAAUGAAGAAAAAAAACAGGAGGUCAUCUGACUGUGGUGAUUGUCCUUUCCGCCGUGAUCACUGUGGGAAGCUGGAUUCAAAGGCAGGACUUCACGCUCUUCUUUUUGGGGGUAGGGAGGAGGCAAGGUGACACGAAUGCGGAGCGGAGCGGGCUGUAAAAGGACGGAAAGAACGCCGCCGCCUUCCUCGAAUCCUCAGAACUAACUGCUGAACAAAAACACCGGGAGCCAGCACCCUCACACAACGAUGUCCAACAAGAUGAGUCAUGAGCCUCGGUGCCAAUGGAUUUAAAUAUCAAUGUUUGUACAUUCAGAACCAUAGAAUGCCAGACUUGAAAGGAAAUUCACAUCA